CGAAAGUUUCAGGAUCCGUUUUCCCCUUGCAAAUACCCUCGCUCUUGGGGGGAGACAGGGGAGAAGGAGGAAGGGGAAAUAUUUCCCCGGAUCUCUAGCUCCCUCAGCUCCAGGCAGGCCUGUGGUGCCGCGUCUGAGACCCGGGACCGAGACCGCCAGUCGGGGCUGCUCGCCAUGACCUUAAAGUUCUCUGGCCGCCGAAAAGGGCCGAGAGACAGCUGGGCAGGUAGACAGAAGCAGACACAAAGAAAGGGACCCUCGAAGGCGACCAGAGAGAAGAUAGAGAACGCAAAGAGCGAAGUGAAACAGCCGGACAGGAGGCAGGAGGCGGGCAGGUGGAGCGGCCAAAACCCGCGUGCUGAGAAGGGCCCAGAGGGGCCUCGGAAGCGACCAGGCGCGUCUCCCUUCCCACUUUACCUGGAGGUUAAUGACCUCGUUAGCGCCCCCUCGUUCCAAACCGCCCAUUUACAACUCCUCGGUUUUCUCGAGGCUCUCUGAUUAAUUAGCCGGUUCGGCAGGAUAGAGGUGCCCCUCCGCCGGGACCUGGCGGCGUUGCUCUAGAUGGUUUCUCAAUUGCGGGGAGGAAGGGCGCAUCCGGGGAGGGGAAAUGGGGGGUGAAUGGUGCUGGCGCCUGCGGCCUGGAGGGAGUAGAUGAACGGUUCGUGAGCUGCAGCCGAACGCUAAGACCCAGAGACUAGGACCCACUCCCCCUCGGAUCAGGACAGCAGGAAGGAGAUGCUCAUUGGGAACUGGUGCCCGCCCCAGACUCUGCAGUCCCCGCGGCCGAGACCCCGCUUGCGGCGAGGCGCUGGGUCAGCGUUUACAGCCACUCCCAGCGCUGGUGGCUGGACAGAGCCCCCUACCCCACCUCAUCUCCGCCCAUCAGACAGCAGAGGUUGUAAGAAUACAGGCCCUUGGCGUUGUGGCGUCCAAGGGGCACCUGUGUACUUGCGAUCUCCCUUCUACCCUGAAUUGCCACUGCCGAAUUUGAAAGCCGCCUUUCUAAUCCCUCUGCCAGGCUCCCGCCUCCGGAGGGCCAGGGCUCCGAGCUAGGCCCUCCCAGACUUCCAGGUUCCACCCCUGCGGCGCCAACCUGCGGCUGGGCUGUCGGCGGAUGGGGCUGGAGGGGCGCGGGGCCCGGAGGUGCCCCUGACCCUGCUCCCGACGCCAACUUUGCGCUCGGGCUCGCCACCUCCCGGACUGGGGACCUUCCUGUCCUCCUACCCGCAGCAGGUAGGCAGUCGCGGGGCAGGCCAGCGGCUUGCGCUGAGAUCUUCACUCUGAACCCAGCCCGGAGGCGAAGGUGCUGAUCCCCAGGGAGUACCGCGGGGCGCGCGCCGUCGGAGACUGCUGCGCUGGCCCAGCGCAAGAGAACCCUAGACAGGACUUGGGUACGUCCCGCGCAGUCUCAAGUACGUCCGGGAUCGGGGACUGAGGGCGCAGCGGUCGGUCUCCAACCCCUCACCACGACCUCUGCGACUAUCUCAAUCGCCACGCGCGACCUGGUCCCACAGCAGCGGUGCGGUCUCUCCCAGGAGCCAGUCACUCAGGAGCCGCAAGGCAGGGGCAUCUCAGCCCCGGAGGCGCCUCGGAGGAAAAAGGUUGCUGUGAGGAGCAUCCUUCCCUCCGGUUCAUCUCGGAGCCUAGGAGCCGGGAUCCCCGGGGCCAAGGGGCGAAGGGACUAGGAAAAGAUGUUCUGCCAAUGGAAUGGAAGCAGUCCAGAGUAGGGAAGAGAGAGCCACAUCCUGUCUGGAAUCGGACAUCCAUCCCCUCAUCUCUGGCUGGGUUCAUGGGGACACAGCUAACCUCAAGGUCAAAGUUCUCCCACCACCAACCUUAGCUCCUGCCCUAGCCUUGCCUGCCCCUUUCCAGAACCCUCCUCUCCUGGGUAGGGAGAAACUGGAGUCUGCCCCAGCCAUACCUCCCCUGUUGUUAAGGAGGGGACCUGAAGCUGGAGGUUCGACUUUCCCUUGGUACCUUCUUCCACUACCAACAGCAGGACAAAUGUGGUCCCACUGGACUACACUGUCCCUGGAGGCUGCACAAUCCAGGCUGUUGGGGGGUCCCUGCCCUUGGGAAUUCAGCUCCUGGAGGCAAAUGGAUAUUGGGCCUUGAGAAGAUCCAAAGAAGUCUAGAGAACCACUCCCGUCUCUGUUGCUUCGUGCUGUGGAGGUGGUAUCGGGCAGGGUCUGCACACAUCUGGAAGGGCAGCCUGGACCAAACCUUUGAUGAGACUCUGCUCCAAAAACAAGAUGCAAUGCCUGGUCUCUCCUGGUGUGUGAGCCCUUUGGUGGCCUGGUUUUGGACUUAUCCUCCAAGCCUUCCCCAGGCACAUACUCUCUCUGCUUCUCUCUCUCUCUCUUUUGCACUGUCUCACUUUCUAUGUCUCCUUCUUUUUCAUCUUUUUAUUUUCUUCUUUUUCCUUCAUCUUUUUUGCUGUCUCUUUUCUUUCUUUAUCUCUCUCCAUCCUUCACUCUGUCCUCUCUCUCCACACACCCUUCUCUCCCUUUCUAUAUGAUCUCCAAAAUAUAGUUUCUUCUCAGAGCUGAUUCUCUGAGAGAUGAGGCAUUGAUCCAGAGGGGUAAUUCUUUGGAUGACCUUAAAUUUGUAUUGCUAGUGGUCAGUUAAAUUCUCCCUGCAAGGACUUCUAUUUUCUUUCUAGUUUUUCAUUUAAAAAAUUAUAUAUAUAAUGCAAAAGUGCCUUAAAUUAAAAGAGCUGCCAUUUACCUCACUGAAAAGAAAAGAAAAUCCCUUUUUAUAACCCUUUUUCCUCUUCCUUUUUCCCUCCCCACCCUUGACCUUCUGUGUAUUAAGUUGAGUUUGAUCACCUUCUUCAGGGGCAGCCCUGCCAUCUGCCAUAGAGUUGAUGGGCCGAUGACAGUUUGUGAAUGUUGCCACCUCACAAGUGCGGGGACAGCAUCAGAAAUAGUCUCUGGUGGCUAAACCUUUUUUAUUUUUUCAGCAACCUUUUUUAUUUUUGAGAGAAAUACAUUUACAUGGUUAAAAAAAACUAUAAAAAUGUGUAAAGUGAAAAAUCUCCCUCCCACACUGUCUCUGUCUCUCUCAUUCUCACCAUCAUCCCAUCCCCUCAGAGGAAACCAUUGUGGUUAGUCUCAUAUCCUUCCAGAUUGCCUCUAUGCAAAUGAAAACUACUGUAAUAACAUGUUCUUAUUUCCCCCAUUUUAGACAAAAAGGUGACUACUAUAAUUCUAUUUAUACCCUUUCUUCACAUAAC
ensembl:lncRNA